rnacentral:rRNA from 1 species
GCGUUAAAUCGACCGCCUGGGGAGUACGGCCGCAAGGUUAAAACUCAAAUGAAUUGACGGGGGCCCGCACAAGCGGUGGAGCAUGUGGUUUAAUUCGAUGCAACGCGAAGAACCUUACCUGGUCUUGACAUCCACAGAACUUUCCAGAGAUGGAUUGGUGCCUUCGGGAACUGUGAGACAGGUGCUGCAUGGCUGUCGUCAGCUCGUGUUGUGAAAUGUUGGGUUAAGUCCCGCAACGAGCGCAACCCUUAUCCUUUGUUGCCAGCGGUCCGGCCGGGAACUCAAAGGAGACUGCCAGUGAUAAACUGGAGGAAGGUGGGGAUGACGUCAAGUCAUCAUGGCCCUUACGACCAGGGCUACACACGUGCUACAAUGGCGCAUACAAAGAGAAGCGACCUCGCGAGAGCAAGCGGACCUCAUAAAGUGCGUCGUAGUCCGGAUUGGAGUCUGCAACUCGACUCCAUGAAGUCGGAAUCGCUAGUAAUCGUAGAUCAGAAUGCUACGGUGAAUACGUUCCCGGGCCUUGUACACACCGCCCGUCACACCAUGGGAGUGGGUUGCAAAAGAAGUAGGUAGCUUAACCUUCGGGAGGGCGCUACC